rnacentral:SRP_RNA from 1 species
CGUACUAGACGGGGAGUUAGCGGUGCCCUAUACCUGCAACCCGCUACAGCAGGGUUGAAUUCCUCGCCUCGAUUUUAGUUUGUGUGGUCUGGUCUAUGUAAGUGGCGUUGAUAGCUGGGUCCCACGCAAUAAGGACUCAUGAACCUCGUCAGGUCUGGAAGGAAGCAGCGAUAAGUGAGAUCCCUUAUGUGCCGUGGAUAAACCUGGUUUGAGUUAACUGCAUAGAUAACGCGCAUAAACUAACUAUCAAAGCGAGGUGUAC